rnacentral:rRNA from 1 species
UGGGGAAUAUUGCACAAUGGGCGCAAGCCUGAUGCAGCCAUGCCGCGUGUGUGAAGAAGGCCUUCGGGUUGUAAAGCACUUUCAGCGGGGAGGAAGGCGUUAAGGUUAAUAACCUUGGCGAUUGACGUUACCCGCAGAAGAAGCACCGGCUAACUCCGUGCCAGCAGCCGCGGUAAUACGGAGGGUGCAAGCGUUAAUCGGAAUUACUGGGCGUAAAGCGCACGCAGGCGGUCUGUCAAGUCGGAUGUGAAAUCCCCGGGCUCAACCUGGGAACUGCAUUCGAAACUGGGAGGGUAGAGUCUUGUAGAGGGGGGGAGAAUUCCAGGUGUAGCGGUGAAAUGCGUAGAGAUCUGGAGGAAUACCGGUGGCGAAGGCGGACCCCUGGACAAAGACUGACGCUCAGGUGCGAAAGCGUGGGGAGCAAACAGG